UCAAAUGAUUUUGUGUCGUUGG
rnacentral:miRNA from 1 species